rnacentral:rRNA from 1 species
AUACGUAGGGUGCAAGCGUUAAUCGGAAUUACUGGGCGUAAAGCGUGCGCAGGCGGCUAUGCAAGACAGAUGUGAAAUCCCCGGGCUCAACCUGGGAACUGCAUUUGUGACUGCAUGGCUAGAGUACGGUAGAGGGGGAUGGAAUUCCGCGUGUAGCAGUGAAAUGCGUAGAUAUGCGGAGGAACACCGAUGGCGAAGGCAAUCCCCUGGACCUGUACUGACGCUCAUGCACGAAAGCGUGGGGAGCAAACAGGAUUAGAUACCCUGGUAGUCCACGCCCUAAACGAUGUCAACUGGUUGUUGGACGGCUUGCUGUUCAGUAACGAAGCUAACGCGUGAAGUUGACCGCCUGGGGAGUACGGCCGCAAGGUUGAA